CGGUUAAUGAUUAUCUCCCUUAUUUCGAAAAACACGCCAAAACCAAAACAACCAGAUAAUUUGAUGUUAUCUUGGUACCUAACAUGAUAUAGUACAUCCCAAUGAUUUGUUUUAUGAUCAGUAGAGAAUAAAAUCAACACACACGCCAGUGGAUGCCAAGACCAAACAAAUUAUGCUGCAAAACUACACAAAAGUAACUAACUACAAACAGGAAAAAAAAAGCUGCAGAUUGUACAGACACAGAAAGAC